rnacentral:lncRNA from 1 species
CAUCUUAAUCGGAUGUUGCACAGUUGGUUAGAGGGAGAAAUUGGAGAGGGUGAACGGAUUAGAAGAAUACAAUGGCUUGUGUCCACGUUCAACCAAAACGGAGAAGUGCACGAAUGGGUGGAUAUUAAGACCGACCAAGACGCUCGUAGGAUGAUGCAUUACAUGUUCAAAAUUGUUUUGAUGGUUGUAAUCGCAUAGUUUUUGUAUUCUAGUUGUUUUAAUUGUUUGUGUUAUUUUAAUGGGUGGAUAUUAAGACCGACCAAGACGCUCGUAGGAUGAUGCAUUACAUGUUCAAAAUUGUUUUGAUGGUUGUAAUCGCAUAGUUUUUGUAUUCUAGUUGUUUUAAUUGUUUGUGUUAUUUUUUAAGAACAACUGUCUUUUCGUCACAGACGUCUACUAUGAAGUAAAUUUAGUUGUCCAUACAUUGCAACAAAGGUACUUUGAAAUAAAUUUAGUUUUCCAUA